rnacentral:rRNA from 1 species
UACGGAGGGGGGCUAGCGUUGUUCGGAAUACUGGGCGUAAAGCGCACGUAGGCGGCUUUGUAAGUUAGAGGUGAAAGCCCAGGGCUCAACCCUGGAAUUGCCUUUAAGACUGCAUCGCUUGAACAUCGGAGAGGUAAGUGGAAUUCCGAGUGUAGAGGUGAAAUGCGUAGAGAUGCGGAGGAACACCGAUGGCGAAGGCAGCCUCCUGGGAUAACACUGACGCUCAGGCACGAAAGCGUGGGGAGCAAACGAGG